rnacentral:rRNA from 1 species
AACGUAGGAGACAAACGUUAUCCGGAGUUACUGGGCGUAAAGGGCUCGUAGGCGGUCUGUUGCGUCAGGAGUGAAAACUCGGGGCUUAACCCCGAGCCUGCUUCUGAUACGGGCAGACUAGAGGUAUGCAGGGGAGAACGGAAUUCCUGGUGUAGCGGUGAAAUGCGCAGAUAUCAGGAGGAACACCAAUUGCGAAGGCAGCUCGCUGGGACGUAACUGACGCUGAGACGCGAAAGCGUGGGGAGCAAACAGG